rnacentral:rRNA from 1 species
CAGUAGCCACGGUAAUACGUAGGGUGCGAGCGUUAAUCGGAAUUACUGGGCGUAAAGCGUGCGCAGGCGGUUCGGAAGGAGAGAUGUGAAAUCCCAGGGCUUAACCUUGGAACUGCAUUUUUAACUACCGGACUAGAAUGUGUCAGAGGGAGGUGGAAUUCCGCGUGUAGCAGUGAAAUGCGUAGAGAUGCGGAGGAACACCGAUGGCGAAGGCAGCCUCCUGGGAUAACACUGACGCUCAUGCACGAAAGCGUGGGGAGCAAACAGGAUUAGAUACCCGCGUAGUCCCUGUCUCUUAUAC